rnacentral:rRNA from 1 species
CACGUAGGGGGCAAGCGUUGUCCGGAUUUAUUGGGCGUAAAGAGCGUGUAGGCGGCCAUACAGGUCAGCUGUGAAAACUCGAGGCUCAACCUCGAGACGUCGGUUGAAACCGUAUGGCUAGAGUCCGGAAGAGGAGAGUGGAAUUCCCGGUGUAGCGGUGAAAUGCGCAGAUAUCGGGAAGAACACCCGUGGCGAAGGCGGCUCUCUGGGACGGUACUGACGCUGAGACGCGAAAGCGUGGGGAGCGAACAGG